UCUAGGUACUGGAGGUCCGAACCGACUAGUGUUGCAAAACUAGCGGAUGAGCUGUGGAUAGGGGUGAAAGGCUAAACAAACUUGGAAAUAGCUGGUUCUCUCCGAAAACUAUUUAGGUAGUGCCUCAAGUAUUACCGUCGGGGGUAGAGCACUGUUUUGGUUAGGGGGUCAUGGCGACUUACCAAACCAAUGCAAACUCCGAAUACCGACGAGUACAGCUUGGGAGACAGAGCACCGGGUGCUAACGUCCGGACUCAAGAGGGAAACAACCCAGACCGCCAGCUAAGGUCCCUAAAAUUGGCUAAGUGGGAAACGAAGUGGGAAGGCUAAAACAGUCAGGAUGUUGGCUUAGAAGCAGCCAUCAUUUAAAGAAAGCGUAAUAGCUCACUGAUCGAGUCGUCCUGCGCGGAAGAUGUAACGGGGCUAAGCCAGUUACCGAAGCUGCGGAUUUGCAAUUUAUUGCAAGUGGUAGGAGAGCGUUCUGUAAGCCUGUGAAGGUGCGUUGUAAAGCGCGCUGGAGGUAUCAGAAGUGCGAAUGCUGACAUGAGUAGCGUUAAAGGGGGUGAAAAGCCCCCUCGCCGUAAGCGCAAGGUUUUCUACGCAACGUUCAUCGGCGUAGAGUGAGUCGGCCCCUAAGGCGAGGCAGAGAUGCGUAGCUGAUGGGAAACAGGUCAAUAUUCCUGUACCGAUGUGUAGUGCGAUGUGGGGACGGAGAAGGUUAGCUCAGCCAACUGUUGGAUAUGUUGGUUCAAGCCUGUAGUCGUGCCUGGUAGGUAAAUCCGCCGGGCUUAGAUGAGGGGUGAUAACGAGUCUGCUUGCAGACGAAGUGAGUGAUACCCUGCUUCCAGGAAAAGCCACUAAGCUUCAGCUACACACGACCGUACCGCAAACCGACACUGGUGCGCGAGAUGAGUAUUCUAAGGCGCUUGAGAGAACUCAGGAGAAGGAACUCGGCAAAUUGACACCGUAACUUCGGAAGAAGGUGUGCCUUUAGUAGGUGAACCAUUUACUUGGCGAGCCCAAUGAGGUUGCAAAAAAUCGGUGGCUGCGACUGUUUAUUAAAAACACAGCACUCUGCAAACACGAAAGUGGACGUAUAGGGUGUGACGCCUGCCCGGUGCUGGAAGAUUAAAUGAUGGGGUGCAAGCUCUUGAUUGAAGUCCCAGUAAACGGCGGCCGUAACUAUAACGGUCCUAAGGUAGCGAAAUUCCUUGUCGGGUAAGUUCCGACUUGCACGAAUGGCGUAACGAUGGCCACACUGUCUCCUCCUGAGACUCAGCGAAGUUGAAAUGUUUGUGAUGAUGCAAUCUCCCCGCGGAAAGACGGAAAGACCCCAUGAACCUUUACUGUAGCUUUGUAUUGGACUUUGAACAGAUCUUC
rnacentral:rRNA from 1 species